rnacentral:rRNA from 1 species
GGACCUACGGGGCGCAGCAGUGGGGAAUAUUGGUCAAUGGUCGGGAGACUGAACCAGCCAAGCCGCGUGAGGGAGGAAGGUACAGAGUAUCGUAAACCUCUUUUGUCAGGGAACAAAGGCGGGGACGUGUCCCCGGAUGAGUGUACCUGAAGAAAAAGCAUCGGCUAACUCCGGGCCAGCAGCCGCGGUAAUACGGAGGAUGCGAGCGUUAUCCGGAGUUAUUGGGUUUAAAGGGUGCGCAGGCGGUCUGUUAAGGCAGCGGUCAA